rnacentral:tRNA from 1 species
GGCUCCAUAGUUGAAGAACAACAUCAAAUUGCAGCUUUGAAAGUAUAAUUUUAUUAGGGCUU